GGAUGUGAGGGCAAUCUGGCUAUAACAUCUGUCACCCCAUUGAUCGCCAGGGUUGAUUUGGCUGAUCUGGCUGGCUAGGUGGGUGUCCCCUUCCUCCUUCACUGUUCCAUGUGCAUGUACGUCCCUCCCAAAGCUGCAUGCUAGGUCAAAGAUGGCAGUCUUCCCUGAUUAGAGAUGGACUGGUCUGAAUAGAGAUGGACCAGUCAGUCUUCGGUGGAGGGUAUAUGAGUAGCUGCGCUCCCCUACUAGAACCUCCAAACAAGCUCUCAAGGUCCAUUUAUAGGAGACUGCAAGGUAGUUAGGCUUCCAAGACUCCAGAUACAUCCAAUUGAGGUGCUGCAUGUGGCAGUCUACUUUUACAAU
rnacentral:snRNA from 1 species